GUGCGAUUUUGCUAAAAUGCAUCAUCAACAGCGGAUGGCAGCUUUGGGAACAGACAAGGAACUGAGUGACUUACUGGAUUUCAGCGCGAUGCGAAACAGCGAUUUGAAAAUGUUCCCAACAUCCAUGAUGUUUUCCCCUCCUGUUAGCAGUGGAAAGAACGGGCCGACC